UCAGGUGUUUGUAGAAAACCCAUGAGUCGCCUUUCUUCCAGACUAAACAACCCCAGCUGUCUCAGCCACUCUUCACGUAACUUACUCCCUUCACCAAGUUCAUUAUCUUUUGUUGGAUUUGCUCCAUCACCUCAAUGUAUUUCUUGAAGUGAAGGGCCCAAAACAGAACACAAGCACAGGAAUUGGAGCACAGGGAGACUCAUUAUGGAGACCAGGGAAGUCCUCAUCAAUUGUGUUUUUCUGCAAUGAGCUAUAUCAACAAAAAGAGUGGGACUACAGCCUCAGAAGCUUGAAUGUCCAGAAGCCAGCAGCUGGACAGGACAGUAUAAUCAGAGGAGAAAUUAAGUUCAAAUCUGACACAGGAAAAGGACAAAGAAAUAUAGAGGUAUCAGUGACUUUCAUGUCAAAGUAUUGCAAUCAGGAAUCUCUAGUAGGAUCAUCAGCAGCUACAACAGUUACUAAUGGAAGAAAACAAUUUCCCGGGUCACUGAAGAAAAAAAGAAAGAGUGUUUAUUUAAGCUCUACACUCUUGUGAAAUAUGUUCUUGAACACAACACGCCGCUGGUUCUAAGCAGGUCAUUCCUUGACAUAUAUAGAAACCUACUAGCAUCUAAUACAAUUUCAAAUCAGAAAACCUGCUUCUGCGCACCUGGUUCAGCAUCAUAUUCCUGGCCCACCUGCAGUUCACCAGAUGUUCUGCUAUUUCAUUGCUUGCAUGUCUCUACGUGUACUUGAUUGUGUUUACCUAAGAAAAUGUUUUGAAUAAAGUUAUUGAGCCAUUUAUUUAUUUCCCUGCUGCGUGACAAACCAAAGUAGAGAUUUGAAACAGAUUUUCAUCAUACUCCUUCCUAAAAGCGAUAAAAAGAAAAACUUCACAUUAAUAAGGGAAUAAAUGAGUCAAUAUUAUGUGCAACGUAAUAUAAAAAUUUACCAGUAUUCUGUGGCUUCACAAAAUUAAUAUUUAAUUGCUUUUGCAUAAAGUAAUACAUCAAUAAAGAAAUAAAUAAAAAUUAUAAACAAGCUUACAAUUUGGAACUGUGGAAAGAGUUAUAUUCCCGAAAAUUUCCUGAAAGAAUAGAGAAAAAGCCAAUGAGAUACUAUAUGAAAAUGGAACAAAUAGCAAAAAAGAGUCUGGUAUGCCUUAGGGUGGUAGAAAAUGUAUGAUGAACUAGUUAUAUCAAUAUUCAUGCGAUUUUCUAAGGAUGUUAGUGUUGCUGUUUUAAAAAACCUUCUGGCUAGUAAUUUUAAUUUAGAUUGCUACCUUAAAGGGAAUAUUAUAAAUAAUUACAGAUCACAGUUAGAUCCCAGAUAAGUGCGGUACCACUAGGCAUAAAUAUAUUGAAUAAAAGAGUACGAAGAACUUUUUAAGUCAAUGAGGUCCAGAUUGUCAAUUGCUGGCAUUGUAAGCACAUUGGAACUCAGUAUACACUGAAACUGUGUUACUUGUAUUCAUCUCUUGCUAGCUGCCAUCCUUUCAAAAAGAAAAUACAGAAAUCUCACUUAUGUUAAUAUAUCUUUUUCUUCUAAAUGACAUUUUCUCUGUACCCACUGAGUGUUGAUUAAAAAAAAAAUCUCAAGGAAUCUGUUCAUCUAUUUGAGAUUUAAAUUUGCUCAUCAAUUACAAAAUAUCCGUAUUUCACUAUAUCAAAUAGAGAUUUCUAAACAAAACAGGUUACAUCCAUAUAUUGAUAAACUACUACUAGCACUGCCAUACUAAUCAGGGUCACAUCUGUAUUCACAUCUGUAUCUAUUCUUGAAAAACAAAGUCCAAAAAGAACAUAUGAGAUAAUGUACCUCACCUCAAGACUUGUAUUGUUGAAAAUAUCAAAAACAUUUCCACAGAAACACUAUGCCUGGGUUUGUUUGCAAAUUGACCUGAAGGCUCCAUGCAACGUAAUAAAUAAUCCUGCAUCCUAUAUUCAUUACGCAUAUUUUAUGGCUUGUCCAGCCCAAGGCAAGAGGCAACAAUUCUUGAUCCAGAUUCUUCUGAAAACUUUGCACACCCAUUCAAGCAGUGUAAAUUUUGGGGCUUACUCUUAGCUGUUUUUGUUACUAAGAACAGAUUUAUUUACUAGAUACUGCAUAUUUACUAUCUGACAAAGGUAACUGAAGUGUCUGCUGUCAAUUUCUUUUGUCACUCUUUCUGUAUCAUCAUGCUGUUUCUGCCAGCAUGCUGACAAGAAAAAUAAUUUCCGAUUUAUUGCAAAACUGAAAUCACUGAAACAAUCACUCUAGUCAGUAUGUGGUGAAAGUGAAAACAAAAACAAGGCACUGUCAUUGUUGACAUUAAUUUCAGUAUAUCUACAGGAUCUUUUCACCAGAAACUUUUUUUCCCCCUUAUGUCCUCUGAACUGUCUUAAUUGUGCAGGAUAUUUGGAUUGGAAAGUUCAGAUCUCACUGACAAAGUUCUACUGUAACAAGUCAUCACCCAGAACCCCUAUCUAGAUUCCAGACCCCUUUGCCCACCCCAUGGGUCCCC